rnacentral:lncRNA from 1 species
UAGUAUUUUCGUGUAAAGGAUAUGGAAUCCAGCUUGCUGAAUUAAAAAAUUUGAUGAAUCUAGCUUGCUAGAUUGAAAAGAAGCUUACUGAAUUAAAGGAUCUGGAAUCCAGUCUGCUGGAUUGGCAAUUUGGUUGCUAAAUUUAGAAUUCAGGUUGCUGGAUUAGUAUUUGACUUAUUAGAUGAUAAGGAAUAACAUGAAAUAAAAAAGCGAGUGUUAAAUCAUAAUGUAUACGAUAUAGUGAUUAAAGAAUUAUCAAAGGAUGAUAAUAAU